rnacentral:rRNA from 1 species
GAUGAACGCUGGCGGCGUGCCUAAUACAUGCAAGUCGAGCGAACAGACGAGGAGUUUGCUCCUCUGACGUUAGCGGCGGACGGGUGAGUAACACGUGGAUAACCUACCUAUAAGACUGGGAUAACUUCGGGAAACCGGAGAUAAUACCGGAUAAUAUAUUGAACCGCAUGGUUCAAUAGUGAAAGACGGUUUUGCUGUCACUUAUAGAUGGAUCCGCGCCGCAUUAGCUAGUUGGUAAGGUAACGGCUUACCAAGGCAACGAUGCGUAGCCGACCUGAGAGGGUGAUCGGCCACACUGGAACUGAGACACGGUCCAGACUCCUACGGGAGGCAGCAGUAGGGAAUCUUCCGCAAUGGGCGAAAGCCUGACGGAGCAGCGCCGCGUGAGUGAUGAAGAUCUUCGGAUCGUAAAACUCUGUUAUUAGGGAAGAACAAAUGUGUAAGUAACUAUGCACGUCUUGACGGUACCUGAUCAGAAAGCCACGGCUAACUACGUG